rnacentral:rRNA from 1 species
UACGUAGGGUGCAAGCGUUAAUCGGAAUUACUGGGCGUAAAGCGUGCGCAGGCGGUUGUGUAAGUCAGAUGUGAAAUCCCCGGGCUCAACCUGGGAAUUGCAUUUGAGACUGCACGGCUAGAGUGUGUCAGAGGGGGGUAGAAUUCCACGUGUAGCAGUGAAAUGUGUAGAGAUGUGGAGGAAUACCGAUGGCGAAGGCAGCCCCCUGGGAUAACACUGACGCUCAUGCACGAAAGCGUGGGGAGCAAACAGG